UCCACCUACAAAUGAGAGUUGGCAGUCUGAUUUUUAUGCUUUGGGUUAAAACGGAGCAUAUUGUGUUGUUGGAGUCGAUUAAUAUUGAGCUGCAUUAUUCUAGCUUGUAGUGUUCUACCUUCUGCAGAAUUUUGAAAACGGCAGAGAGAACGAGACAUGUUGUAAAUGUAGGAAAUACAAAAACAACGCAGCAGUCCAAUCACAGGGCUUGAGGUUGCAUCAUUUCAACAUGUAUCAAAAAGAAGGUGCACGCCAGGCUACAUAUGAAGGCAUCUCAGUUGGUACAGGACUAAGAGAACCUAUAGUGUAUCUCACAGCACAGAUUUGACACAGAUGUAUAAAUCAGGCUGAAGAUAGUUCAGGUCUCAGGGCGCUGAUGGCCUAGCGGUUAGGUUGUGCCCCAUGUAUGAAGACCAGUCCUACAAGCAGGUGGGCCCAGGUUAAAGUCUGACCUGCAUCAUGUCAUUCCCCUGCUUGCUCUCUCCUGAUAUUUCACUCUGUCCACUGUUCUCUCUCAAAAGCCCAAAAAGAAAUCUUCGGUCCAGGUCUCCAUGCACUGCUGACAAGUUGAGUUGACACUCGUGGUCUCAAAAUAAUGAACACCAACACUCACUAACAAGUACAACUUCUCACUUUGAGUGCAUCCUCCACGACUUACCGGUCAGCCCUUACCUUGGUGUCUCCAGGACGUCCGAGGCACAGCGUGGGGUCCAUGGGUGGACACCUCCAGGAGCAGCCCCAGAAACACUCCCAGCACGCCAAACCCCAUGUUAGACUCUGGUAACUUCGGAACUGUGAAGUUUCCUCUGUGAGACAAAAAAAAAAAAAA